rnacentral:rRNA from 1 species
GCCUAAAAUCAAGCCUUUAACUCUUAUUAUUCAACCCCAUUUCUAUUCCUUCCCCUAAAUAAAACAUUUUAUUACUUUAGUAGAGGUGAUCGAAAAAUUAAUUAGCGCUUCACACACAGUACCGCAAGGGAACGAUGAAAUAGCUUUGAAAUAGACUAAAAGCCAAAAACAGCAGAGAUUACCCCUCGUACCUUUUGCAUCAUGGUUUAGCCAGUCCUAACCAAGCAAGGCGAACCCAAGUUUGGUCCCCCGAAACUAGGCGAGCUACUUCGAAACAGCUUUUAGAGCCAACCCAUCUCUGUUGCAAAAGAGUGGGAUGAUUUCCAAGUAGAGGUGAAAAGCCUAUCGAGCCUAGAGAUAGCUGGUUAUUCAAGAAAUGAAUUUUAGUUCACCCUUAAGCCCCCCCCCGGUAACCUAAACACGACUCCCCCGCUUAAGAGCUAUUCAAUUAAGGCACAGCUUAUUUGAAAAAGAAUCCAAUCUAUAAUUCAGGGUAAGCCACGACUGCCUUGUUAAGUGGGCUUGAAAGCAGCCACCUUUCAAAAAGCGUUUAAGCUUAGCAUAUUCUAUUAAUAAAAUUCCACAACACCCCACGAACCCGACACCACAAUUGAAUAACUCUAUAGAUUAUAGAAGAUAUGAUGCUAAAACUAGUAACAAGAAAAAGACCUUUCUCCAAAAUAUAAGUGUAUGUCAAAACGAACUCAUCAUUGACACCUAACGCCCUUGAGCCCAAGAUAAUAACCCACCAAGAAAACCUUAUUACACAAUGACGUUAACCUAACACAAGAAUAUUUCUGGAAAGAUUAAAAGAGGGAGAAGGAACUCGGCAAAUCUAAGCCCCGCCUGUUUACCAAAAACAUCGCCUCUUGAAUAGAUAUAAGAGGUCCAGCCUGCCCAGUGAUACAAUUUAACGGCCGCGGUAUACUGACCGUGCGAAGGUAGCAUAAUCACUUGUUCUUUAAAUGGGGACUAGUAUGAACGGCACCACGAGGGCUUUACUGUCUCCUCCCUUCAAUCAGUGAAACUGACCUCCCUGUGAAGAGGCAGGGAUACCACUAUAAGACGAGAAGACCCCAUGGAGCUUUAAACCCAACAACAGCCCAAACACCACCACCCCAAAAAGUUUUAAGGGUAUUGCUAGUUGGUUUUAGGUUGGGGUGACCGCGGAGUAUAAACUAUCCUCCACGACGAACGGGCCUACCCCCUUACCCAAGAGCUACGCCUCUAAGGAUUAACACAUUAACGUAAAAUGAUCCAAAUAUUUGAUCAACGAACCAAGUUACCCUGGGGAUAACAGCGCAAUCCAUUUUUAGAGCCCCUAUCGACAAAUGGGUUUACGACCUCGAUGUUGGAUCAGGGUAUCCAGGAGGUGCAGCCGCU